rnacentral:rRNA from 1 species
CCUACGGGUGGCUGCAGUGGGGAAUAUUGGACAAUGGGGGCAACCCUGAUCCAGCGACGCCGCGUGAGUGAAGAAGUAUUUCGGUACGUAAAGCUCUAUCAGCAGGAAAGAAAAUGACGGUACCUGACUAAGAAGCCCCUGCUAACUACGUGACAGCAGCCGCGGUAAUACGUAGGGGGCAAGCGUUAUCCGGAUUUACUGGGUGUAAAGGGAGCGUAGACGGCAGGGCAAGUCUGGAGUGAAAUGCCGGGGCUCAACCCGGGAACUGGUCUGGAAACUGUGAAGCUGGAGUGCAGGAGAGGGAAGUGGAAUUCCUGGUGUAGCGGUGAAAUGCGUAGAUAUCAGGAGGAACACCGGCGGCGAAGGCGGCUUACUGGACUGUAACUGAAGUUGAGGUGCGAAGGCGUGGGGAGCAAACAGGAUUAGAUACCCCAGUAGUC